GUUCGUCUGGUUUGGACACCGGAAUACACCGCCUCGCAUGUGCCGAGUUUUCACAACAUUGCUCCACGGUUGUACAGGAUAGGAAGUAAAAAAGUCACAAAGUUUUUUUUUAACGGCGACGUGGACGACUGCCUCAUCUUAACAACUAAAUCAGUGGAUCCAGAAGAGGGCGACAGUCAGUCAUUGAUUUGCCCAGCUGACGGGCCUCUGCCGGUGUCUUUGGCAGUGCUUUGGAGCCUCCGGGUGUUUGGCACCUGUCAUCUUCACUUCAGGCCGAGAUGGAAACACAAGACCCAGUCACACCUGCAGACACCUGUGCUUUUGUCCUGCUUCGUGCCUCCCAAAAAACCCCUGCCCCUCCCUCAGUAGUGGGCACCCGUGCCUGUGGCUAUGUCAGCACACUCCAUUGUUUCACUCGACUAUGCAUUUAGGACCAGAUAAUAGCAAGAAAAAGAGAUUCAUUAGCAUUUUGUUCACCACAUCAUGAUGUAUCCCCUUAUUUUAAAGAGCUGGAUUCUCUCAGGAAGUUGAAACUCCCUGGAGUAAUUCAUGAAGCGCAAGUUUGUGUAACUCAUCAAGUCUUAUGGCUAAAAUAAACACUGCUGGAGUAAAUGUAUUAAAAUUGCUUCUUUGUGUUAGUCGGGUUGGAAAUGGGCUGUGUGAUGGCUUUAACAGGUGUGUCUGGGAUCUGCUGUAAUAACUUUUUUUAGCCUCUAACAAGUCUGUGUGUUGCCAUGAUUUGAUUUUGUAAAUGGAGUACAGGGGCACAAGUGGGCAAGCCAUAUGGAACAGA